UACGUAGGAGGCAAGCGUUGUCCGGAAUUACUGGGCGUAAAGCGCGUGUAGGUGGUGGGACAAGUCUGCUGUGAAAGCGCCUGGCUUAACCGGGCGAGGUCGGCGGAAACUGUCCGACUCGAGGACGGUAGAGGGGGGUGGAAUUCCCGGUGUAGUGGGGAAAUGCGUAGAGAUCGGGAGGAACACCUGUGGCGAAGGCGGCCCCCUGGGCCGGCCCUGACACUGAGACGCGAAGGCGUGGGGAGCGAACGGG
rnacentral:rRNA from 1 species